UCGUAACAAGGUCUCCGUUGGUGAACCAGCGGAGGGAUCAUUACUGAGUUACCGCUCUAUAACCCUUUGUGAACAUACCUACAACUGUUGCUUCGGCGGGUAGGCCGUCCCCUGAAAAGGACGCCUCCCGGCCCGGACCGGACCCCCUGUGGGGACGGACUCGGCGCCCGCCGGAGGAUAACCAAACGCUAUUUCAACGACGUUUCUUCUGAGUGGCAUAAGCAAAAUAAUCAAAACUUUUAACAACGGAUCUCUUGGUUCUGGCAUCGAUGAAGAACGCAGCGAAAUGCGAUAAGUAAUGUGAAUUGCAGAAUUCAGUGAAUCAUCGAAUCUUUGAACGCACAUUGCGCCCGCCAGCAUUCUGGCGGGCAUGCCUGUUCGAGCGUCAUUUCAACCCUCAAGCUCUGCUUGGUGUUGGGGCUCUACGGUCGACGUAGGCCCUCAAAGGUAGUGGCGGACCCUCCCGGAGCCUCCUUUGCGUAGUAACAUUUCGUCUCGCACUGGGAUCCGGAGGGACUCUUGCCGUAAAACCCCCCAAUUUUUCAAGGUUGACCUCGGAUCAGGUAGGAAUACCCGCUGAACUUAAGCAUAUCAA
rnacentral:rRNA from 1 species